rnacentral:misc_RNA from 1 species
GCCAGAAACAAUGAUAAGAUAAGCCCCCAAAGCCCCAAGAUUUCUCUCAUCUCCCCUCGGCACCAUGGAGACCACACUGCUCUCUUUCCCUUCCUCCAAGCCUACACCUUCCCAAACCCUAAUCAAUUUUCGCCCCGCAAACCCAUUUUCUCUUUCUAAACCAUUCUACAAAUCCAAUUCCCGCAGACCCAUCUCCGUGAACUGCGCCAUUUCUCGCACCAAGAAGGAAGAAACUGUAGAAACUGUCAAAACACAGCUGGAGAACUGUCACCUGAUGGCAGCCAUAAAAUAUACAGGCUUUACUGUUAAACAAUUCCAAGAAUUGAGGAGAUCAUUGCCUGAAUCCUCCAAACUUCUCGUAGCAAAGAACACUUUGGUAUACAAGGCCAUAGAGGGUACCCAAUGGGAGGCCUUGAAGCCCUGUAUGAAGGGUAUGAAUGCUUGGCUUUUUGUGCAUAGUGAGGAGAUACCUGAGGCUAUUAAGCCGUAUAGGAAUUUCCAGAAGGAGAAGAAGUUGGAGAACAGUGACUUUACUGGGGCGGUUUUUGAGGGGAAGUUUUAUGGGCCAGGAGAUUUUAAGCAGCUGGAGACAAUGCCAUCCAGAGCAGAGCUAUAUGCUAAAAUUUUGGGUGCCUUGCAGAGCCCUGCAAUUGGUUUGGUGAGUACCUUACAGGCGCCGGCCAGGGAUGUGAUUAUGGUGCUCAAGGCUUAUGUGAAGAAGCUGGAGGAUGAGAGUGGUGGACAAUAGUGGAUGUAAGUGUAUUCUUUUCAAAACCCAAUUUUGUGGUUUCUGAAUUGUUGUAACAGAAUUAAUGGUUAUCUGUUUCACGGGAGUCAUUGGAUUUAAAAAAAAAAUGCAAUGCUUGCUGUAGAAUUUUGUAAAAUUCUGAUCCGGAUAGUGAUCUUGAAUUCCAAUGUAAGUUAUUCCUUAUGGUUUCUGCAAUUUGAAUAACCUGGUUCUUUGAAUAGAUGAUGUUGAGCUUGAGAGUUUUUAUUGUAAGUAUGAUUUUGAAACCUAUUGUCUAGUAUGGAAUGUCUAAACUAAAGUUUGGGUUGGUUGUUUGAUUUCAAUUUGAAGGAAGUUUAAGAAAUUUGCUACAUUGUCAAAUUGGCACUGUUAAAUUUUGAUCUGAAUUGUCAUUGCAAGUUUGUUGAUAUUGAGUUUUAAGCUAUCUAGGUUUUUGGCUUCUAAUAAAUGAACUAAAACCUGUUUUUGUAGUCAGGAGAUAUAUUAUUGUCUAGAAGUGGAGUUUCAUAAGUGGUUGGGUCUAUUAUGAGUUUAUUCUAUCAUGAUUGGAAAUUUUGGUUACUGAUUAUUGCAUAUAUUAUAUCAAUCAUUUACAGCCCUGA